ACGGGUGAGUAACACGUAGGUAACCUGCCUAUGAGACUGGGAUAACUAUCGGAAACGAUAGCUAAGACCGGAUAACUGGUUUUCUCGCAUGAGAGAAUCAUGAAACACGGAGCAAUCUGUGGCUUAUAGAUGGGCCUGCGGCGCAUUAGCUAGUUGGUAGGGUAACGGCCUACCAAGGCGACGAUGCGUAGCCGACCUGAGAGGGUGAACGGCCACACUGGGACUGAGACACGGCCCAGACUCCUACGGGAGGCAGCAGUAGGGAAUCUUCCGCAAUGGACGCAAGUCUGACGGAGCAACGCCGCGUGAGUGAUGAAGGUUUUCGGAUCGUAAAGCCCUGUUGCCCUAGACGAACAGCAUGAGGAGUAACUGCCUUGUGUGUGACGGUAUAGGAGAAGAAAGCCCCGGCUAACUACGUGCCAGCAGCCGCGGUAAUACGUAGGGGGCAAGCGUUGUCCGGAAUUAUUGGGCGUAAAGCGCGCGCAGGCGGUCAAUUAAGUUGGGUGUUUAAGCCCGGGGCUCAACCCCGGUUCGCAUCCAAAACUGGUUGACUUGAGUGUAGGAGAGGAAAGUGGAAUUCCACGUGUAGCG
rnacentral:rRNA from 1 species